rnacentral:lncRNA from 12 species
GCACAGCCAAGCACAGAGCAACGUGGGUGUGCUGGGACCCAGGGCAUCUGCAGGCAGGUCCCGCCAGGGCAGCCAGGAAAGUCCUUUCCCUGUGGGCUGGAUGUGUCGGUCUGCACCAGGCUUUGUGUUUGCUUGUUGGAAAGGACGUGUGUGCUCAUCCGUGCACGUGCUGGGAGGGAUGGGGAGGGUGCCCAGGUCCCGCUCGCCCGGGGUGCGGAGGUGGUUCCUGCGCUCGCGGGGCUCCGGGGGGACGGAGGCGCGCACGUGACGGUCUUCGUGCCUGCACACCGUCCACGUCCAUCUCAUGUGCUGAGAUUCCCGCAGGCACCCAAAGGAGUCAUCGAGCUGCGUGCUGAUCGCUGCACGCUGCCAAAAUCCUCUGGAAUCCUCUCCCCUGCGUCGCCCCUUCCCAGGUCAGCGUCAGGCUUUGCCGCAGCAGGUGCUGAAACCCGUCCCUCCUCGCGACCUGCCUCCCUUGCUUUUCCAGCACAUUUUCCAGAGCUGCGGGAUGGAGAGGGACUGCACUGCUGGCCUGAGAGGUCGACGCUCAGGUGGCUCCCACGCCUACACCCAUCCACCUCUGCAGCCCGAGCGCUGACCCCCCAUCCGUGGAGUGAACACCAUACUGGUGGUCUUGGGGUCGCUCGGGGUUGACUUGAAAACACCCAGCUUGUUUUCACUUGUUCCCCCCUCCCGCCUCUCCCCCUGCAAAACCAGUGUAAUUGGAGCAGGAAAUUAAACAUUUGAAGCGUUAACGUGAUAAUCUGCUGGUUUAGGCUUUGUGGGGGGCAGGGAGCUGGGAGCUGAGCACUCUGCUGCUGCCAUGGUGUGCAGGGAGGGAGGAGGGACACGGCAGCAGUGCGAUCUCCCCAGCACAUCCCACACUCUUGGCCCACCUGGGGAAACCACAGGCUCUUCUUCAGCUCCUUCUGCUUCAGGUAGUCUUCGGGCUCUUAGUUAGGAUGGUUUUAUUUUGUUUUUCC